rnacentral:lncRNA from 1 species
ACAUUCAAUUGAUGAACACUAAGUGUUAAAGAACUCUAACAUCAAGUGUUCAAAAGUGAAACACAAAGGCAUUAAAAACUGAACACCACACAUUCAAUUGAUGAACACUAGUGUAAACAUUUGGAACACCAUUUCAGUUGACUUAGAAAAUGCAUUCGUUUUUUUUUAUUUGCAGGAAUCGUUAGAUUGAAAUGUUUGAAUUAGGAACCGGUAGCCAAUAAUCCCACGA